rnacentral:rRNA from 1 species
GUCGGGAAUUUUGGGCAAUGGGCGAAAGCCUGACCCAGCAACGCCGCGUGAAGGAUGAAGUAUUUCGGUAUGUAAACUUCGUAAGAAUAGGAAGAAUAAAUGACGGUACUAUUUGUAAGGUCCGGCUAACUACGUGCCAGCAGCCGCGGUAAUACGUAGGGACCAAGCGUUGUUCGGAUUUACUGGGCGUAAAGGGCGCGUAGGCGGCGUGGUAAGUCAGCUGUGAAAUCUCCGAGCUUAACUCGGAACGGUCAGCUGAUACUGCUGUGCUAGAGUACAGAAAGGGCAAUCGGAAUUCGUGGUGUAGCGGUGAAAUGCGUAGAUAUCAAGAGGAACACCUGAGGCGAAGGCGGGUUGCUAGGCUGAUACUGACGCUGAGGCGCGAAAGCUAGGGUAGCAAACGGGAUUAGAAACCCGGGUAGUCC